CUACGGGCCGCUCCAGUGAGGAAUAUUGCACAAUGGGGGAAACCCUGAUGCAGCAACGCCGCGUGGAGGAUGACGCAUUUCGGUGUGUAAACUCCUUUUAUAUGUCAAGAAAAUGACGGUAGCAUAUGAAUAAGCACCGGCUAACUCCGUGCCAGCAGCCGCGGUAAUACGGAGGGUGCAAGCGUUACUCGGAAUCACUGGGCGUAAAGGACGCGUAGGCGGGAUGUCAAGUCAGGUGUGAAAUCCUAUGGCUCAACCAUAGAACUGCACUUGAAACUGGCAACCUAGAGUAUGGGAGGGGGAGAUGGAAUUAGUGGUGUAGGGGUAAAAUCCGUAGAUAUCACUAGGAAUACCGAAAGCGAGGGCGAUCUCCUGGAACAUCACUGACGCUAAGGCGUGAAAGCGUGGGGAGCAAACAGGAUUAGAUACCCUUGUAGUC
rnacentral:rRNA from 1 species